rnacentral:tRNA from 1 species
GCCUGGGUGGCUCAGUCGGUUGAGCAUCCGACUUUGGCUCAGGUCAUGAUCUCGUGGUCCGUGGGUUCAGGGUCCCGCGUCAGGCU